rnacentral:tRNA from 1 species
GCGCCGCUCAGCGUGGUGGCCUUGACGUCACCGCUGAAGUCGGUGCCGGCCAGCGAGGUGGUGGCGUUCGCGCCGCCACCGGCGACC